rnacentral:rRNA from 1 species
UGGGGAAUUUUGGACAAUGGGCGAAAGCCUGAUCCAGCAAUGCCGCGUGUGUGAAGAAGGCCUUCGGGUUGUAAAGCACUUUUGUCCGGAAAGAAAUCCUUGGCUCUAAUACAGUCGGGGGAUGACGGUACCGGAAGAAUAAGCACCGGCUAACUACGUGCCAGCAGCCGCGGUAAUACGUAGGGUGCAAGCGUUAAUCGGAAUUACUGGGCGUAAAGCGUGCGCAGGCGGUUUGCUAAGACCGAUGUGAAAUCCCCGGGCUCAACCUGGGAACUGCAUUGGUGACUGGCAGGCUAGAGUAUGGCAGAGGGGGGUAGAAUUCCACGUGUAGCAGUGAAAUGCGUAGAGAUGUGGAGGAAUACCGAUGGCGAAGGCAGCCCCCUGGGCCAAUACUGACGCUCAUGCACGAAAGCGUGGGGAGCAAACAGGAUUAGAUACCCUGGUAGUCCACGCCCUAAACGAUGUCAACUAGUUGUUGGGGAUUCAUUUCCUUAGUAACGUAGCUAACGCGUGAAGUUGACCGCCUGGGGAGUACGGUCGCAAGAUUGAAACUUAAAUGAAUUGACGGGGUC